UACGUAGGGUGCAAGCGUUGUCCGGAAUUAUUGGGCGUAAAGAGCUCGUAGGCGGUUUGUCGCGUCUGCCGUGAAAACCCGAGGCUUAACCUCGGGCUGGCGGUGGAUACGGGCAGACUAGAGGUAGGUAGGGGAGAAUGGAAUUCCCGGUGUAGCGGUGAAAUGCGCAGAUAUCGGGAGGAACACCGGUGGCGAAGGCGGUUCUCUGGGCCUUACCUGACGCUGAGGAGCGAAAGCGUGGGGAGCGAACAGG
rnacentral:rRNA from 1 species